UCUGCGCUGUGGGAGUGUCUGGACCCUCCACGCCAGGAUCUGCAGCAGAACCUCGCACUGGUCCCCAGGGGCACGGCAAACUUGUAAGCCCUAGUUCGGCUCCCGAAAAAUAUGCUUGAGUUGUUCUUGUGUCCAACAAAAAAUGAGUUCUAAUAUGUUUUAUUUGUAAUGUUACUGCGUUGAAGUUAGCACCAUUUAAAAUCAAAAAAUGAUUAGUCUCUUAAAUGAAUGGCAUCUUGUUGGACCGGGGACUUAAAAAACUGAUGCAUUCUUUUACAUCUUGUGCACUUGGGCACACAUCAAUGAAACUCAAAAAGUGGGACACACAAUAUGGAGAUGAUGACUUGGCAUUUGUUAGGGAGGAGUGUAAGUAUAGAGAGGAGGAAUUCCCAUUCAUGUACUCUGCAAUGUGCAUUGUGUCCUUGUAACCUGUUUACUUUUUUUCCAAAAUAAAUAGCUGUGAAAAAACCCAUCAAAGUUGAGGUAAGUGGUUACAACAGUAUCGUAUUAGGGUCAAAUUUCUCUUUGGGUAAAAAUUAAGCCAACAUCCAAGUGUCAAAGGUCGGUUCUAAAAAAACAAGUCAGUCCCUGAAGCUUAUUUGUUCCACAGAUGCUAAUUCAGUGACUGUGUGUAAGGAAUGUUUUGGGACCUGUCUGAUCUUAAAAAACUAACUUUGUUGUUAUAUUACAGCAAUAUUGAGGAAAGAUUUAACGGCUGAUCAUGGAGCAAAAUGAAGGCCAAAGGGAAACUCGCUGCCACGCUUCUGGUUAUGCUUCCAUCCGGCGUAGUCAUCCAGCCGCACUGACUCAACAGAAAUCUGCUGCGUCACCCCUCAGGAACCCCUCCCUCUCGGAUCCCCAGAUCUCUUCCCCGUCCAAGUACAGAGGAACACAGGGCUGCAGAAUGAAGGGCUCCAUGUUGUCUGUGCAUAGAAAAGUGCCGGCCCUCUCUGUUUUUAUUCUCCUCCCUCCGCAGACCCCCCUCCCUCUAAGGAAGAAAACUUUUUUUUUUCACAACAGGUGUCACACGUAUGGAUCAUAUUACACACUUCCGGAGUCCCCUCCUCCCCUCACCGGAUGCUAAAACCCUUUUAGAUCCAAUUAAAAACAGGACACUCAAAAAGAUGCUCUGUAAAAGAGUAGAAUUCUUGGAACAGAGUUUAAUACACUGAGUCAUAUGAACAGCAGGAAAAAUACAUACAGACAUUUAGCAAGAGAAUUAUAUAGCAGAAA